rnacentral:lncRNA from 1 species
GAGUGCAACAGCUGAUCCCUUUCGGAGUGGAGUUUCCUAGCUGGUGCCUGUCCUCUCUUGAGCCUUUGUUUCUUGAGUGAGCACUCACUGGGGCUGUGGCUCCAUGAACUGGAUUUCAGGAAACCAGCCAAGGCAUUCUCUCUCUCUCUCCAUUCCUAGAAAGGCAGAAAGCCUGGGAAUGGGUUCGGCAGGAAGAUCUCUGUACCUCAAUCUCCAUUGCUUUCAGCACCACUGGCUUUCUCCCCAGCUCAAGUGCAAAACCUGCCAUCGUUGCUACCUGGGGUGCCUCAGACUCACCCAAGUCCCCCAGGCCAGAGGACAUGCUCUCAAGCCUUGUUUCAGAAAGAGGGACCCAAAGGCUGUUAGGGAAGAGAACCAGGGUCCUCAAACCCAGGGUUUUCUCACCCACUGCCUCUGCUCUGGCUGUGGCCUGCCAGACCUCUCCUCUGAUUUUCGCUUUCCUUCCUGCCAGUGCCUUUGUUUAUCCGAGGCGCCAAGAUCCCACUGUGAAGUCUGAAAGGAAGACCAGUGGUUCUCGCUUUUCCUCUAGAUGCUGUGUCUCCCAAUGUCAUCUUCUUUCCUCUCAAAGACAAUUGGACGUUGUUACAGAUUUUCUUGGAAUGAGUAAAUACCUAGCAGUGGGAUUGCUGGAUCAUAUGAAAAUGCCAGACUAUAUUUCAUCAGCAACAUCGGAGAGUUCCAGUUGCUCUACACCCUCACUAGCACUUAAUAUUGUUGAUCGCUGCCUGGAUUCACAGAAGGACAAAUUACAAUGCAUUUUGAAAGACUCGUCUACAGUCAACUAAAAUACCAGUUAUCACAGACUUCACUGGCCUUAAUGAGGAGGCUGAGAGGGAUUUAAUUACUGGGACAUGCAACGCUUACACCAAACUCUGUUCGAUUCACGACUUGGAAAAGCAAAUGUGGAUACAGAUGAGUGUGGACAUGGCUUCAGUAGGAAAUGUCGAGUUUGUUCAUCACUCUGAAGUUUCUUCAGCUGCAACGGAAACUGCACCCUCCCUCCCGACUUGUUGGUUAUCUUGCUGUGCUCCCAAGAAGGUAUUUUCUGCUGACCUGAUAGAUCAGACCUUUGUCAUUUUGAUUGAAAAGAUGUUUACCUGUUGGUCCCCAGCCUCACUCUUCUGAACCUCAGAUCCACUGAGUGUGUAUCCAGAGGUAAGUAUGUGGUAAGUAUGCUUGUCAUUUACAUUAUCUGUCAGCAUGAGUAUUGGUUUCCUAGAAACCUAAUAUUGAAAACACUUAGCAUUGCUAAAAGCAUUAAAUGAAAUAAAGACUCAAUAUAGCUGCACUAAUCUGUGCUUUCUAAAUUUACUGAUGGACGUGAAGAAAGUAGGUUGGCAUGGAGUUUAUACAAUUUAUGGAUCACACUGAUCUGAAUUCAGACAGUGUGUGCUCAGAUAAAAAUAUUGUUUCCUCCCAUGAGGUUUCCAAUUUUGCAGAGAAGAAUACCUCUGUUUAGCUCAUUACUUAACACAAUGGGUAGCUGGGUGGCCUUGCAUUCUGGAAGUGAAAUGACACAAGAAUGUCUCCACUGCAUUCUCCAGAGGUAAAGAUUCUCUGGCACAAAAUCACAACCAAGGUGGGGUUCCAAAACUAUAGAACAAAUGGCAGCAGCCAUGCAGCCAGCCUUGGUUCGGGUGGGCUGUAAAAGCAGAGGUUGUCCUCGUGUUAUCAGCACUGACUUCCUGUUGUGGCCACACUGACAGAGAUGAGAUGGCAGAAAGCAGGAAAGAGACCAGAGCUGCAAUUGACAGAUGGCUGGCCAAAGUUGAAGGGUCAGAGACUACACCAAAGACUUCUCAGAAAAUACUUGCCUAGGAGGCUCUCACUUGGAAAGAUAUUCAGGGUUGUUAAACAUAUCCUGUUAUUAGGAAAACGAGAGUUUUAUCUUUCUCUUACUCAGAAAGAAAAAACAAAAAGAAAAUUAGUGCUCUUAAGAAAAGCUAUUUUAAUGUUAUCCAUUAUAAAAUUAGAAAACCUUGAAAGGCAAAUGUUUCUUCUGACCAUUUACACUGAGCUUCUUUCAUUAUCUCAUAUGCAACCUUGUGGAUUGAAGGUGGAGAGUCCUUAGGAUUACCCAGGAACAUCCCUGUCUGCUCCCCCUGCUAGGCAGGAGGAGAUUUGAAACCACAUGUGUCUACUUCAUUUCUGUCACGGGUAGGACAGUGUCAUAUACUUUGUAGGUAACUCAAAGAUAUUAUAGGUAACUCAUAGAUAUUGAUUGAAUUAAUGUUUAAUAAAAUGAGAACACC